rnacentral:rRNA from 1 species
UACCCGUGCCGCGAAGCCGUCCGGUGGAUGGCUCGGCUCGGGCGCCGAGGAAGGGCGUGGCAAGCGGCGAUAUGCCCGGGGUAGCCGCAGGCAGGCGUUGAUCCCGGGAUCCCCGAAUGGGGCUUCCUACCUGGGCCGAAUAGGCUCAGGUGCCCCGUAGGGGGUGGGAACGCGGGGAACGGAAACAUCUUAGUACCCGCAGGAGGGGAAACCAAAAGGGACCCCCUGAGUAGGGGCGACCGAAAGGGGGUUAGCCCAAACCGAACCCCCAUGGGGUAACCGUGGGGGGAUGUGGUGUUUGGGCUUGGGUACCGCCGAGGCAGCCUAGCCGAAGUGGGCUGGAAAGCCCCGCCGUAGAGGGUGAUAGCCCCGUAGGCUAAAGGUUGCUGGCGGAUUCCCAAUGUCCCGGAGUACCACGGCUUGGUUUUGCCGUGGGAAUACGGGGGCCUCCAGCCCCUAAGGCUAAGUACGUCCCGAGUCCGAUAGCGAACAAGUACCGUGAGGGAAAGCUGAAAAGAACCCCGCGAGGGGUGUGAAAAGAGCCUGAAACCGGACGGUUAAAGGUGCGGCGGCCCUCAAGGAUAACCCCACCUGAAGGAAACCGGGGUGACCCGGGAGUACGAGGGUGGGGUACGGGGUCGCCGCUUACGUCCAGAAACACGAGCCAGGGAGUUCCCAUCUGUGGCGAGUCUAAGGGGGUUAACCCCGGAGGCGUAGGGAAACCGAAGGCCCGCAGUCGGGUUAACCGACGAGGGGCUGGGUCCGUUAAGGGCCCGUAGCCACAGGUGGGAGACCAGAAACCGAGCGAUCUAGCCCGGGGUAGGGUGAAGCGGGGCGAAAGCCCCGUGGAGGCCCGAUUGGGGUUCUGACGUGCAAAUCGUUCCCGUGACCCUGGGCUAGGGGCAAAAGACCAAUCAAGCUCGGUGAUAGCUGGUUCCCCCCGAAGCAGCUCUUAGGCUGGCCUCCCUGGAGGGUGCUCAUGGGGUAGAGCACUGAUCCGGGAUGCAGGGGCCGAAAGGCUCCGGUCCCGGGUCAAACUCCGAACCCAUGAGCCCCAUUGAAGGGGGGAGACGGGUUCCCCGGGGGUAAGCUUGGGGGCCGAGAGGGAAACAACCCAGACCGGGGUUAAGGCCCCAAAGUGCGGGCUAAGUGUCAAUCUAGAAGGGUGUCUCCCACCGAAGACGGCGGGACCGUAGGCCCAGCAGCAGCCAUCGGCUAAGCAACGCGUAACAGCGGACCCGCUGAGGUGGGAGGCCCCGAAGACGCACAGGGACUCAAGCCCGCCGCCGAGACCCCGGCCCACGGAUCAUUGAUCCGCGUGGGGUAGGGGGGCGUCGCCGUGGGGCGGAAGCCGGGCUGUGAGGUCCGGUGGACCCGCGGUGAAUGAGGAUCCUGGCGGUAGUAGCAGCGAAGAGGGGUGGGAUACCCCUCCGCCGGAAAGGCCCAGGGUUCCAUGGUAAUGUUCAUCAGCCAUGGGUUAGCCGGUCCUAAGGUGGGGCCUAAUUGGCACCCACCGAAAGGGAAACGGGUUAAUAAUCCCGUGCCGUGGGGGUAGGUUUGCGGCAACGCAGGCCCCAUUCCCGACGUCUCAGGAUAGGGUGAGUGGGGCUGCCGCCCCAUUUAACCGUCGAAGACCGGGGAGUGCCGUCAUGGCGAGAACCGGUUGAAGACGGUAAUAGCCGGGCCUUGAGCCCGGUUCACCCGACUCCUGGGGCCCAUGAAAAGGGAAUGGGGAACGAGCCCCCACGACCGUACCGAGAACCGACACAGGUCGCCUGGGUGAGAAGCCCAAGGCGGGUCGGGUCACGCCAGGCUAGGGAACUCGGCAAAUUAGCCCUGUAACUUCGGGAUAAAGGGUGCCCGCGGUCUGGGUAAAACCCGGGACCGUGGGUCGCAGUGGCAAGGGGGACCACACGACUGAACAAAAAAAACAGGCCCCCCCACCACCCAAGAAGGGGUACGACGGCGGAAGAAUCCCCACCACCGGCACGACAAAAAACCCGGCAACAACCCGAAGAACCGCCGAAGAACGCCGGGAACAACGACCACCCUCUUAAGGUAGCCAAAUGCCUUGCCGGGUAAGUUCCGGCGUGCAUGAAUGGAUCAACGAGGUCCCCACUGUCCCAGCCUGGUGCCCGGCGAACCCACCUCCAGGUGCAGAGUCCUGGGACCCCCGACGGGGCGAGAAGACCCUGCUGGACCUUUACUGCAGCCCGUCGUUGGGGUGGGGGAGGGGGUGCAUAGUGUAGGUGGGAGCGAUGAACCAUGGUCUCCGGGCCGUGGGGAUGCGUCAAUGAAACACCACCCAUCUCCUCCUCUGCCCCUAACCCUGGGGUUCACCCAGGGGACAGCGGCGGGUUGGCAGUUUGGCUGGGGCGGCACACCUCUGAAAAGAUAUCAGGGGUGCCCUAAGCUCCGCUCAGGUCGGUCAGAAACCGACCGUAGAGGGUAAGGCCAAAUGCGGGGCUGACUGCCCCCUUGAACGCUAGGGGGGCAGGGGGGAAACCCGGGCCUAGCGAACGCUCGUGCCCCCACUGGAGGGGGCCGGGCAUGUCGGAAAAGGUACCCCAGGAGUAACCGGCUCGUCGCGGGUGAGAGUUCCCAUCGACCCCGCGGUUUGGUACCCAGACGUCGUCUCUUCCCAUCCUGGCGGCGCAGCAGCCGCCAAGGGUGGGGCUGCCCGCCCAUUAAAGGGGAACGUGAGAUGGGUUCAGACCGUCGUGAGACAGGUCGGUCUCUACCUGUCGGGGGUGCUGGCCGCCUGAGGGGAAGGUGCCCUCAGUACGAGAGGAACGGGGCGCCGCGGCCUCUAGUCUACCGGUUGUCCGGCAGGGCAGUGCCGGGCAGCCACGCCGCUUGGGGUAACCGCUGAAGGCAUCUAAGCGGGAAACCCGCCCCUAAAAUAGGCGGCCGCCGCUCCUGACCGGGGUUACCCGGUUGGGGGUGGUUAGGGCCCCCGUAGAAGACGGGGUUGAUGGGGUGGUGGUGUAUCCCCCGAGGGUUUUCCCGAGGGGGGAGCCUGCCACUCCCAAUCGCCCGAGCGUGCGGG